AACGUACGCUGGCGGCACGCCUAACACAUGCAAGUCGAACGAAGUAGCAAUACUUAGUGGCAGACGGGUGAGUAACAUGUGGGUAUCUGCCCUUUGGCCUGGAAUAACACGAGGAAACUUGUGCUAAUACCGGAUAAGUCUUUACGGAGAAAGCUUUAUGCACCAUUGGAUGAGCCCGCACUUGAUUAGUUUGUUGGUGGGGUAAUGGCCUACCAAGACUGUGAUCAAUAGCUGAUUUGAGAGGAUGAUCAGCCACAUUGGGACUGAGACACGGCCCAAACUCCUACGGGAGGCAGCAGUGGGGAAUCUUGCACAAUGGAGGAAACUCUGAUGCAGCGAUGCCGCGUAAGUGAAGAAGGCCCUUGGGUUGUAAAGCUCUUUCGUCGGGGAAGAAAAUGACUGUACCCGAAUAAGAAGGUCCGGCUAACUUCGUGCCAGCAGCCGCGGUAAUACGAAGGGACCUAGCGUAGUUCGGAAUUACUGGGCUUAAAGAGUUCGUAGGUGGUUGAAAAAGUUAGUGGUGAAAUCCCAGAGCUUAACUCUGGAACUGCCAUUAAAACUUUUCAGCUAGAGUAUGAUAGAGGAAAGCAGAAUUUCUAGUGUAGAGGUGAAAUUCGUAGAUAUUAGAAAGAAUACCAAUUGCGAAGGCAGCUUUCUGGAUCAUUACUGACACUGAGGAACGAAAGCAUGGGUAGCGAAGAGGAUUAGAUACCCUCGUAGUCCAUGCCGUAAACGAUGUGUGUUAGACGUUGGAAAUUUAUUUUCAGUGUCGCAGCGAAAGCGAUAAACACACCGCCUGGGGAGUACGACCGCAAGGUUAAAACUCAAAUGAAUUGACGGGGACCCGCACAAGUAGUGGAGCAUGUGGUUUAAUUCGAAGAUACGCGCAGAACCUUACCAACACUUGACAUGUUCGUCGCGACUCUAAGAGAUUAGAGUUUUCGGUUCGGCCGGACGAAACACAGGUGCUGCAUGGCUGUCGUCAGCUCGUGUCGUGAGAUGUUGGGUUAAGUCCCGCAACGAGCGCAACCCUCACUUUUAGUUGCCAUCAUUAAGUUGGGCACUCUGAAAGAACUGCCAGUGAUAAGCUGGAGGAAGGUGGGGAUGACGUCAAGUCCUCAUGGCCCUUACGUGUUGGGCUACACACGUGCUACAAUGGUAUCUACAACAGGAAGCAAGACUGCGAGGUCAAGCAAAUCCUCAAAAGAUACCUCAGUUCGGAUUGCACUCUGCAACUCGAGUGCAUGAAGCUGGAAUUACUAGUAAUCGUGGAUCAGCGUGCCACGGUGAAUGCGUUCCCGGGUCU
rnacentral:rRNA from 1 species